rnacentral:misc_RNA from 1 species
GAAAAAAUCAGCUUUUUAUUUGGUAAAAAAUAUUGAGGCACCCCUAUUGUACAACUUUACAGGGAGAACAGAUGGAACUGUGAAGUGUCAUAAACUUGGCAUCUCAGAAGAAAUGGUAGUAUCAUUGGUAUUGGAACUAGUCCAAUUUUAUGGACCUCAAAUCAUUUCUAUCUUCAAGAACAAAAAUGGCACCAUUAAUACAAGCUUGAGAUCUGAAAGAGGCAAACUAUCAUCAGAAAAAACAACUACGCCGCCUGCACAGGUGACAUGUCCUGUAGGAUAUUUUGUUCCCAGACACUUCAUCCGUAUUAAAGUAGAAGCUUCUUGAUGUCACUGAAGUUAGAUGACAAUGCUGAAACGAACGCACCUCCAACCUUCCCAUCAAAGACGCGAUGAUCAGCUGAUAAUGUCAAACUCAUCUUGUUAACAACAGCUGGUUUCUCAAUUCCGUCAGCACCAACCACAGGUUCGACAACUUUAUUGCCCCUACCAACAGCAAUUAUACCGGCCUGAGGAGGGUUGAUAAUUGCACAAAACCGAUCCACUGGAAACAUGCCCAAGUUUGAAAUGCUGAAAGUGCCACCUUGGAAUUCAUUAGGUUUAAGCUUUCCAGCUCGUGCCUUUCCAGCAAGCUCCUUGAUCUCCGCAGAUAUUGAGGAUAUGGAUUUUUGAUCAGCAUUCCUGAUAAUUGGGGUCAUCAAGCCCUUUUCAGUGGCAACCGCAACAGAUAUAUCGACAGAAUCACAAAGCACCACCUCACCUUUUCCAUCAUCCCAGUAAGCAUUUGCUCCUGGUACAUUUCUUAAUGUUGCUGCAACCACUUUGAUUACAAUGUCAUUCACAGAGACUUUAACAUCAUACUUUUCUUUAAGCUCCUUUCUGAAGGAGAGAAGAGAGUCCAAUAUAACAUCUGUGGACAAAUACAAGUGAGGGGUAGAUUGCUUAGAUUCCAAUAACCUUGCUGCUAUCACCUUGCGAAUUUGACUAUUGGGUAAAUCUUCAUAAGCAUCCUUUUGCUGUCCAUCAGAUUUUAAAUCAAGUGACUUUGUUGGAGUAGCUUGUUGGUUGACCUGAGGAGGAGAUGGAGUUGCCUUCCCAACUGAUGAAUUGUUGCUUGAUCCCUUUCCAGACUUCAAUGCAGCAAGAACAUCUCCCUUUAACAAGGUACCACGAGGACCAGAUGCUGGAAUUGAUGAUGCAUCUAAACCAUGUUCCAUAAUUAAUACCUUAGCAGCUGGACUGAUUCUAUUGAAACCUGUUGUCUGAGUUCUAACUUCAGUUGUGACAUCAUGACUGACCGGCUUUUCUUCCUUAACCACAUUGUUGCCGCUGAUCGAUGUCCUCACAGCUUCAAUAUCAUUUUCAUCCUCAACCAUGAUUGCAAUAGGCUGCCCAACAGCCACAUCUUUUGAACCUUCAGGUGCCAGUAUU